UCCAUCUUGGAACUCCUGUGUUGUAAUAAAGUCCUUAGGACUAUGAUUAAUUGACAAAGGAGGAUUUAUCGUUAAGUCUUUAAAAAUAUUCACGACCAAACGAUAUGCUAUUACUAGAAUGAUAGCGAUAUCAAGUGUAGGUCAUCGCGCAUUAGAUAAGUUGGUUGUCCUCUUAACCAAGGAGUAUGGAGAUACUAUUAUGGCAUGC
rnacentral:lncRNA from 1 species